rnacentral:rRNA from 1 species
AGGCAUAACACAUGCAAAUCAGAACGGUAACAGGAAGCAGCUUGCUGCUUCGCUGACGAGUGGCGGACGGGUGAGUAAUGUCUGGGAAACUGCCUGAUGGAGGGGGAUAACUACUGGAAACGGUGGCUAAUACCGCAUAACGUCGCAAGACCAAAGAGGGGGACCUUCGGGCCUCUUGCCAUCAGAUGUGCCCAGAUGGGAUUAGCUUGUUGGUGAGGUAACGGCUCACCAAGGCGACGAUCCCUAGCUGGUCUGAGAGGAUGACCAGCCACACUGGAACUGAGACACGGUCCAGACUCCUACGGGAGGCAGCAGUGGGGAAUAUUGCACAAUGGGCGCAAGCCUGAUGCAGCCAUGCCGCGUGUAUGAAGAAGGCCUUCGGGUUGUAAAGUACUUUCAGCGGGGAGGAAGGUGUUGUGGUUAAUAACCGCAGCAAUUGACGUUACCCGCAGAAGAAGCACCGGCUAACUCCGUGCCAGCAGCCGCGGUAAUACGGAGGGUGCAAGCGUUAAUCGGAAUUACUGGGCGUAANCGCACGCAGGCGGUCUGUCAAGUCGGAUGUGAAAUCCCCGGGCUCACCCUGGGAACUGCAUUCGAAACUGGCAGGCUUGAGUCUUGUAGAGGGGGGUAGAAUCCAGGUGUAGCGGUGAAAUGCGUAAAGAUCUUGAGGAAUACCGGUGCGAAGGCGGGCCCCUGGACAAAGACUGACGCCUAGGUCC